rfam:Colletotrichum orbiculare MAFF 240422 contig06050, whole genome shotgun sequence.
GUCUCAUGUGAUGAUUUCAAAAUUUUCACGACGGUCUCCAUAGCCAUAUGCUUUGAUGAUAAUGCCUUUGACAAGGCCUUGAACUGAUA